rnacentral:rRNA from 1 species
CAACUUUCAACAACGGAUCUCUUGGCUCUCGCAUCGAUGAAGAACGCAGCGAAAUGCGAUAAGUAAUGUGAAUUGCAGAAUUCAGUGAAUCAUCGAAUCUUUGAACGCACCUUGCGCCCCUUGGUAUUCCGAGGGGCAUGCCUG